rnacentral:rRNA from 1 species
AGUGAACGCUGGCGGUAGGCCUAACACAUGCAAGUCGAACGGCAGCACAGUAAGAGCUUGCUCUUACGGGUGGCGAGUGGCGGACGGGCGAGGAAUACAUCGGAAUCUACUUUUUCGUGGGGGAUAACGUAGGGAAACUUACGCUAAUACCGCAUACGACCUACGGGUGAAAGCAGGGGAUCUUCGGACCUUGCGCGAUUGAAUGAGCCGAUGUCGGAUUAGCUAGUUGGCGGGGUAAAGGCCCACCAAGGCGACGAUCCGUAGCUGGUCUGAGAGGAUGAUCAGCCACACUGGAACUGAGACACGGUCCAGACUCCUACGGGAGGCAGCAGUGGGGAAUAUUGGACAAUGGGCGCAAGCCUGAUCCAGCCAUACCGCGUGGGUGAAGAAGGCCUUCGGGUUGUAAAGCCCUUUUGUUGGGAAGGAAAAGCAGCAGGUUAAUACCCCGCUGUUCUGACGGUACCCAAAGAAUAAGCACCGGCUAACUUCGUG